rnacentral:rRNA from 1 species
GAUGAACGCUGGCGGCGUGCCUAAUACAUGCAGGUCGAGCGAACAGACGAGGAGCUUGCUCCUUUGGCGUUAGCGGCGGACGGGUGAGUAACACGUAGGUAACCUACCUAUAAGACUGGGAUAACUUCGGGAAACCGGAGCUAAUACCGGAUAAUAUUUCGAACCGCAUGGUUCGAUAGUGAAAGAUGGCUUUGCUAUCACUUAUAGAUGGACCUGCGCCGUAUUAGCUAGUUGGUAAGGUAACGGCUUACCAAGGCAACGAUACGUAGCCGACCUGAGAGGAUGAUCGGCCACACUGGAACUGAGACACGGUCCAGACUCCUACGGGAGGCAGCAGUAGGGAAUCUUCCGCAAUGGGCGAAAGCCUGACGGAGCAACGCCGCGUGAGUGAUGAAGGUCUUCGGAUCGUAAAACUCUGUUAUUAGGGAAGAACAAACGUGUAAGUAACUGUGCACGUCUUGACGGUACCUAAUCAGAAAGCCACGGCUAACUACGUG